CGUGGGCCUCUGCGGGAUGGUAUUUAAUCGUCUCUCCGUGCCAAUUUUGGUCUCAUUGUUCUACUGACGCUGGGUUUACGCGCACGUUGGAAUCGAAGAGAGCUCUAUGUUACAAUGUUUAGCCCACAAGAGCUCACUGGUGAAGGAAUGGGACAAGACCCAUCUUUCUGCAAAGCCAGCGUUACAGUAAUGUUCCAGCAUUUCAUAAUCUAUCCUGAGGAAUUCAGCUGCCUCCCAGGGUGAAUACAGGUAUUCCUCAUGACAAUCUGCCUCUAUCUUACAGUGUUAGUAACCAAUAACCUCUUGGGCUCUAAGGUGAGUAAUUUCACUGUAUUCAAUGCAUCCAGCAUAUAGAGUAGAAAAAACUGCCUUUUUAGGCCUGUAUAUAUGAUGACUUACAUGGAAUCUCGUUCGGCUGAUGACUUGCUGUUGAGACUCUGAAAUCUGAUUUUCUAAGAAUGAUGCAUGGGAACAACUUAAUGCAGGAUAGGAGAAGCACUGCUGACUUGGUCUUCCUCCUUUCAGGGCCAGCACCUUGUCUCUAGCACUCAAGAGGAGUUUGAGGAAAACUAGGUGUUACUGUUCACUCCAGACUACAGUUACAGGUCUGAGUAAAGAACAAGGUGCAUAAGAAAUGGAAUCUGUCUUGGAGGACAUCAGAAGGUGAAUUUUCCAAGUCCUUGGAUAACCUAGCUGUUGAAGUUACCACAGCAUAAUUUUAGUCGUCUUAAUGGCGUGGCUGCUUUUUUUUUUUCAAAGCUUUACUGUGAAUCAUGCCUUUGGGUGGGUCUACCUGGGCACAAGGAAGUGACCCCUUGCUAGUUUGCUAUUUUUAACUGGGUUUUACCCAGCUUGCUUAGGCAGUCUGUCUAAUGCUGCAUUUCCUACUCCAAGGCAGCAUUCAAGGAGCCUAAUUUAUCAGCACACUUUAGGGACUUUUUCCCUAGAUGUACCUCACUGAAGGAAUUUUAAAUGAAAAGCUCGCUGGGUUUAGGGGGUCUUUUAGAUGUAUUUUAUCACCCGCUUCCUGCAACAUGAUUUCUGUGGAAUCUACCUGCCCUUUUGUUUUUUAGAUACAAGGGCUUGGUUUUACUACCAAGGCUGCGCUCAAGGCCCCGGCUUUAAGAGAUCCUCCCACCACAGAUUUCCAAAGUGCUGGGAUUGUAGGUGUGAUUCUUGGCACCCAGACUUUGCUGCCUUUCUUACAUGAUCCAAGCCCAGAACCAAAACUCAGGCACUGCAUAGAUGGCCAGUUUGGCAAACUACUGACCUAGCUUGUUGCCAAUUGUUGAUUGAGCUUCCCAUAACUCCAUUUCUGUUCCUCUGUAUAGAGCCACCUUCUAUUCCCAUCAUGAGCCUUUAGGUCUCCAUUUGCAUGUUGCAAAUACUAUGUGCCAUGUAGGUAGCUCAUUCAGGGCGUUGCUCUAAACUACAAAAAAGGUUCCCUUGAGGAGUGGCUGUCAAUUUGUGUUGCUGUAUUGGUUGUUGAUGAAAAUAAAAAAAUGAUUGAUUACAUA